rnacentral:rRNA from 1 species
AUUAGAGUUUGAUCCUGGCUCAGAUUGAACGCUGGCGGCAUGCUUUACACAUGCAAGUCGAACGGCAGCGGGGGCUUCGGCCUGCCGGCGAGUGGCGAACGGGUGAGUAAUGCAUCGGAACGUGCCCAUGUCGUGGGGGAUAACGUAGCGAAAGCUACGCUAAUACCGCAUACGCCCUGAGGGGGAAAGCGGGGGAUUCUUCGGACCUCGCACUGUGGGAUGAGCCUACGUCCGAUUAGCUAGUUGGUGGGGUAAAGGCCUACCAAGGCGAUGAUCGGUAGCUGGUCUGAGAGGACGACCAGCCACACUGGGACUGAGACACGGCCCAGACUCCUACGGGAGGCAGCAGUGGGGAAUAUUGGACAAUGGGCGCAAGCCUGAUCCAGCAAUACCGCGUGUGUGAAGAAGGCCUGCGGGUUGUAAAGCACUUUCAGUUGGGAAGAUAAUGACGUUACCAACAGAAGAAGCACCGGCUAACUCCGUGCCAGCAGCCGCGGUAAUAAU